AGAUGGAGAUAAUUACCUUAUCAAAUCCUGCGUGAAACCUACGCAGAAGGAUAGGACUUACCUAAAUAAAACAGCUUAUGAUGUUUGGGUGGUUAUGUGUAAAAGUGGAAGCGUAAAUUGUGCUUACUGCACAUGCAUUGGAGGAGCUGAUGGAGGAUGUCGCCACAUCGGAGCAACCCUGUAUGAAAUUGAGGCUUUUGAUGUCAAGUCAGUGACAGAUGGAGAUAACUUGUGGGUAAAACGACCACGACAUCAUGAUUGCCCAGUGCCUAUAAAGCAACUUAAAAUCUUGAAAGCUAGGUAUGCAAGUGUGG